rnacentral:misc_RNA from 1 species
GAUGAAGAACGUAGUGAAAUGCGAUAAGUAAUGUGAAUUGCAGAAUUCAGUGAAUCAUCGAAUCUUUGAACGCACCUUGCGCUCCUUGGUAUUCCGAGGAGCAUGCCUGUUUGAGUGUCAUUAAAUUCUCAACCUUAUUGGCUUUUGCUGAUAAUGGCUUGGACUUGGGGGUCUUUUUGCUGGCUUUCAUUAGUCUGCUCCCCUUAAAUGUAUUAGCCGGUGCCCCGCAGUGGAACCGUCUAUUGGUGUGAUAAUUAUCUACGCCGUGGACGUCUGCUAUAAUGGGUUUGCGCUGCUUCUAACCGUCUCUCGGGACAACACAAAUGACAAUUUGACCUCAAAUCAGGUAGGACUACCCGCUGAAAUUAAGCAUAUCAAUAAGCGGAGGA